GAAAGCUAGAGCGAGGUUGUAGCUGGCCCCCCCCCCGGGGGCAACGUGCACGCCUUGUCUCCAUCUUCAUCUCUCUCUCACCCCUGUGCACCUCUGCGUGGGUUCGGAGCGUUGGUUCGCUUCGGGCUUGCGUCAUUUUCUACAACAAACCCCCCAUCGUAUGUCUCGGAACGUUUUAUACAAAAAUAAAAAACUUGUACAACUUUCAACAACGGAUCUCUUGGCUCU
rnacentral:misc_RNA from 1 species